CUUCAGCCAGAGCGCGGGGUUAGGGCUUCAUUGCCUUGUGUCCUCUGCUCCGGGAGACUUCGGUGAUUCUGCCACUCACUCCGUCGCUCUGUGACCUGCUGGCAUUGAAUGAUUUAUAGCUAAGACUCCAGGACACCCCUGAAGCCGAGAAAUGUGGAAAAGCGAGAUUGUCUUUGACCAUUUGCUAUGGACAUUGUCAGGGAUGGUGCAGCCUGAAUGAGAAUGUCUGCGGUAUUUCCCGAAAUAAGUAUCCCUCAAGGAUGAUACUGUGGACCUCACUCAGGAAGAAUGUGUCCUUCAGGGAAAGCUGCACAGAGACGUGAUGCUGGAGAAGCAGUCAUCUGGUUACUUUAGGUUUGUGCCCCAGGAAUUCAUAGUCCUGGGCAACAUAGUGUGACCCUGUCUCUACAGAAUUUUUAAAAAUUAGCCAGGCUUGGUGGUAUGUGCCUAUAGUCCCAGCUACUUGAGUAGCUGAUAGAGGAGGAUGGCUUGAGCCCAGGAGGUUGAGGCUGGAGGUUGAGGUGGUUGAAGCUUCAGUGAGCUAAUUAUCGUGCCUCUGCACUCCAGCCUGAGUGAUGGAGAGAAAAAAAAAAAAAAGAGGUCAAAGCCAAAUUCUGGUACUAUCAAUUUUUAUUAAAUAUUAUUUUAUUUUAAACAUUACCAUAUAUAUAUUUGUUUUGUGGUAAAACUCCUAAUAAUGACACAGUUUGAGACUUGAGAGAAAGGAGCAAAGCAGUCUUUCUUAUCAUGUCUGCCACUGCCUCAACCAGGAACCACUGUUGUCAGUUCUGUGGCAAGAGUCAGGGAAACUCUCGUAAAAAUCCAUUUACACAUAAUUAUGUGAGUUGAAAAAAUAGUUCGGUGAAUCUAUUGUUAUGUAGUAUUCUUUUUUAAAACUAUAUAUCUUGAAUCUGUUUUCAUGUUAGCAAAUAUUGAAAUACUUGCUUUCUUAGUUCUGUUUGCAAACAUUUCAUGCUUAAUAAGAAUUUAUAUUAUGCUGUUCAGCAUGCUUAUUAUUAAAUAUUUUAUUCUGAGAUAUAAUGCUAUGAUUAUUUCUGAUUUUUAAUCUUUUGAUUUAACUAAUAAACUAAAGUGGUGUUCUAAUUAUGAA
rnacentral:lncRNA from 1 species